rnacentral:rRNA from 1 species
GACGAACGCUGGCGGCGUGCUUAACACAUGCAAGUCGAACGGAAAGGCCCUGCUUUUGUUGGUUGCUCGAGUGGCGAACGGGUGAGUAACACGUGAGUAACCUGCCCUUGACUUUGGGAUAACUUCAGGAAACUGGGGCUAAUACCGGAUAGGAGCUCCUGCUGCAUGUUGUGGGUUGGAAAGUUUCGGCGGUUGGGGAUGGACUCGCUGCUUAUCCGCUUGUUGGUGGGGUAGUUGCUUACCAAGGCUUUGACGGGUAGCCGGCCUGAGAGGGUGACCGGCGACAUUGGGACUGAGAGACGGCCCAGACUCCUACGGGAGGCAGCAGUGGGGAAUAUUGCACAAUGGGCGGAAGCCUGAUGCAGCAACGCCGCGUGCGGGAUGACGGCCUUCGGGUUGUAAACCGCUUUCGCAUGUGACGAAGAGUGAGUGACGGUAAUGGGUAAAGAAGCACCGGCUAACUACGUG